rfam:Schistosoma rodhaini strain Burundi genome assembly, scaffold: SROB_scaffold0008724
AUCCAGUUGACGAGUCCAAAAUAGGACGAAACGCGCGUCCUGGAU